GUCACAUACACAGCGAGUCCACAACAUCUUGAAAUUGCACAUCAACACUGAGGACAUGCUGAAAUUUCUGGGACAUGACAACACCAUGUGUAACAUUUUACCAUAUACCAUGAAGGCCUGAGAGAUGAUACUUUGACUGCAACUUCUGUCUCCGUUCCAGGAUCUUAUUACCCUCUGUGCAGUUAACUUGAAGCUUCAGUUAAUUAGCAUCUGUGGUAAUUAGCGGAGUCGUUAAGAGCAUUAUAAUCAAGUUUUCGCCUUUACUCAUUUGACUCCCUGGGGCUGUCAGAGUUUGUCUUUCUCACUUCCUUUUUCACAGCAGGCAGUAUACAUUAUACAUGCUGUGUCACAGAGCUUAUUUUUUUGUGAAAUGGUGAUGCUGAGUUAGUCUGAAAUUAACUCGGUAGUUUCGCAGCAAAGCCAUAUGCAUUGUUUGGCAAAGAAGGUCGCUAUCUGUGAGGCAAAAGCUGACUCUUCUACUGUUGUUCACCUACUGGCUUCCCAUUAAAUCCCUACAUUUCAAUGAU